rnacentral:rRNA from 1 species
UUUUGGACAAUGGGCGCAAGCCUGAUCCAGCCAUUCCGCGUGCAGGAAGAAGGCCUUCGGGUUGUAAAGUGCUUUUGCAAGGCACGAAACGGUCCUGGUUAAUACCUGGGGAUAAUGACGGUACCGUAAGAAUAAGCACCGGCUAACUACGUGCCAGCAGCCGCGGUAAUACGUAGGGUGCAAGCGUUAAUCGGAAUUACUGGGCGUAAAGCGUGCGCAGGCGGUUUUGUAAGUCAGGCGUGAAAUCCCCGGGCUUAACCUGGGAAUGGCGUUUGUAACUGCAAAGCUGGAAUGGGUCAGAGGGAGAUGGAAUUCCGCGUGUAGCAGUGAAAUGCGUAGAUAUUCGGAGGAACACCAAUGGCGAAGGCAAUCCCCCUGGGCCAGCAUUGACGCUCAUGCACGAAA